AAAAAAAAAAACACCAUUCUAUGUCCACAGAUUGAGUAAUAUGAUCUUAUGCAAACUGUAAAUUCUAAUAGGAUUGAUUUACCGAAAACCUGUAGAGCUGCUCAUUAGUUAUGGAUUGAGCAAUUUGCAGCAAAUCGAUGCUUUAAACUGUCUGUCUUGUAAAAUCAUUAGCUUGCUGCAGUAUCUUACUGAAGUAGUGGAAAAUAAGUGACCCCAUUAUUCCAUAGCUAUGUAUGGUUGGGAUUUAAAAAACGAUUUUACAUGAGGAAAAUGUUCCCUUUUGCUUUAGUGAAUGCCAGCUGGAAUUCCUGUCUGACUGUAUUCUAUAAAACAUUAUGGCCUAUUUCUUCUGUACCCCAACCCACCUAUGAGUGGCACAAGAGAAAGUAACAACAUACACAACUGUCAGCUCUCUUUUGUGCUCAUAAUUCUCCCUUAUUUCUUCUUCCUGAAGCCAUUAAUGUUAAGAAAGGGUUUUAUAAAGUAGAACAAGAACAAAUAAAACCUAUCUGGAACCAAAAGAAGUGAAAACAAAACCUAAACUCUUAAGAGGUUGAGAGAGUACUUUAGUUUGUUACGGUAACACAGCAUAUUUUUCUUAAACACUGUUUAAAAAGGGAAAAGAAAAAAAAAAAAAAAAGAAAAGCUAUGUACAAUGUGUUAAUAAGUCUGUGUGGUGUGGUUUUUUGUCCCCUUUCCUUAAUUAUUGUUGCAUCUUCAAAUGCUCUGCAUACCAAACGAUGCAGCACUUACUAGGAUAACUAACUGCUCUAAUGCGUAAAAAAACAAAAUGGCAUGCAAGUGAAUGCUGCCUAGUGGCUUGUCUGUUGGUUGUUUUUUUUUUUUUCUAGAAAUACUUCAUUUUCUUUACAAUUUCAUCAUUAACUUUUGCUUUUGUAAUUUGCUGUUUAAAAUGAGCUACAUUCUCUUUUCCUGUCUCCCAGAGAAGCAAGCAGUGUUGCCACAACAGGACCUUCCUGAACACUCAUCUAUGGUAGAUGAUAUUGCAAAGGGUAAUUUGGAAUAAUCUUGAGUGUAUCCACCUCCCUCAAUACUAAAUUUUUAUCAGCUCCUGAAUGCCUUGGAAUAUAGAGAAUAUAUGGUGGGUUUGGGGGUUCUUUUAAUUACAGUUUCUGCAUCUGAUAGUGGCAGGGAAAGAUUGACAGCAAGUAGACCUUGUAGUUUAAUAACUAGAAAGUAAAUGAAAAAAACUCUAAACUAAAUUUAAAAUUUGAGAUCUUCAUGCUCUUUUUUGUUGAUUGUUAAGACUGGCAAUAUAGAUGUUUUCUUAUAUAAGCAGUCUUGUUUCAUUAGUUUUCUGGUCUCUCACAUGUAUUAAAUUUACAAGAAUAUCUGCAGAAUCAAGCCCACAUACAUACAAUUUAUCUGCAAGAAUACAGAUUGUAAAAUCAGCCAAAAUUUGUUUAAUAAUAAAAUAAUUUUAAAAUUUCUGAAUAUCUUGAACAGAAAUUUUAUGUUAGAUCACUUUCUAGCAUCCUAGUAUCCUAAAUGACUUCCUAGCAUUAAUUUUUGUUAGUGACAUGAAGCAGGCUCUUCAUGAUCCUUGUUAUCAGCAUAUAUCAGCAAAGCUUUCUGCUCAGAAGAAAAAUAAGAUUUAAAAUUAGAAGUAGAUAUUUAAAAGUCAAUUUCAGAUUUAAAACUUCACUUAAAUUAUUUUUUAAAUUUCUGUUAUUCCUGAUUAUUAUUAUUAUUAUUAUUGUUAUCGCAGCAAACAUUUGGGCAACUUGAAAACAGCAAUUUACAACCUUACUGACAGCCUUUAAUUCUUUUAUAUGCUCAUGUCAUCAUCAGUGUGUUUCUCCAUCUAAUAGAUUUUUAUCUUUUUGUUACUGGAAGCAAAGCUUUUCAGGUCAUGCUGGUACAUUACACAAGACGCAAACAAAGUAUUUUCUCUAUUGUAAAUAAACCUACAUUUUUAAACCUAAGUAAAGUAAUACAGGCAUGUAUGUGUUAUCACUAAGAUUCUGUUUGCAACAACAUAUCAGCAGACUAAAAUGUAUCACUGUACUUAUUUUAGAUUACUCAUUGGAGUGCAUUAUGCAUUUUCAUUCAAAUAAACAGAAAAAUCCUUUUCGCAAAAUGUUAGUGAGAAUGAGAUACUUCUCCACAAAAUGAAGAUUAGAAUUAGCAUAUUUGUAUAGAAGCUAACAGCAAUGGCUUCAUGAGCAAAAGCCUAUUAGUAGAAUAACAGAAAUAUCACUUUUUCUGAAAUAUUUUUAAUUAUAUUGCCUCCCCUCCAUGAAUUAUUUUUUGAUGUAAACUACUUGCUUAAAAUCAAACCAGAACAUAUACAUACAUGCAUACAUACAAGCCCCUGCCUUUUUUCCCCUAACCAAAAGCUAAAAAUCUCUCCUUUCCUGUCUGAAAAAAAGAUUUUAUGCUGCAAACUCUGAAACGGCAACUGCAGUAUCUAGUUCUUUAAGAUGUAAUGUUUAUCCUUAGCCCAGUUGCAGGGUUGAGCUAUGAAGGCACAUAAAUAAGGGUGCCUUUUCUGCAGUAGCAAUAAAAAGUGCAUCCAAAAAAAACAUCUCUGAAGGGGAACCUGUAGUAAAUGACAUCAGGAAUCUGUGAUGUCAGAGGUUUAAAAUGACAUCACGUCAAUGAAUGCCUCUAAAUUUUUUUAAUUCUUAACUAAAACUGGGAAAUCCAAAUUCGAGAUAGUGAUACACUGUGUUACCUGAAUUAAUAUAACUGAGUUAUUGCUUUUUGUAAUCAAUAGUUCAUGUUUCUUUUUCACUUCUACCACCUCCAUAGGUAUUUUAUUUUUGCAAGUAAACCUUAAAAUGCACAGUUGUUGAGAUUAAUCUCAAUAUUUACUGCAUUGGCUGACACCAGUUCAAAUUAGAAGUAGACAUGUAGGGUUCAUUACAUCUUUAACACUAAUUGAAAUAAAAUGUUGUUAUUUGUUCAUUCAAACAGGCGAUAGUAUCCUGCAGUGGUAGCUCGACUUCUUUUUAACUGACGAUCUCCCUCACCAAGGGCUAAUGGGAAGGUGCAGUUGAUUUCCCUUUCUGGUGUGUUGCAGUGCUGGGCUUGCUGUGAGCAUAUGCACCAUCCUUACUUCAUUCAGGAAGAAAAUGGGACUCAGAAAGACUCAGAGAGUUAUAAAGUUCCUUUAGCGGGGAUAAAAUCCACUGUCUCUAUUGCAGAAGCUGUUCUGCCUGACCCUAAGCCGAAAAACAUGCCAUAGGACAUUAGUAGCCCCAGGUUAAGGCUGGUCAGAGGGUAGUUCAGCAGCUCUUACUUGACUUUUGAGCCCUGCACCUAGUUUGUGUCUCAGCUGUCUCUUUCCCUGACCUGUAAGCUGAGAGGCAGCUCUAAUGCUUUUACUUGGUGGGGAUCCCAGCAGGUUGGGAUACAACACUUCCUCCUCUGGAAAUUUUGGUGCCAGCACAUGCACCACCCCAUUCAUCUCCACCACCAUCCAUGCUUAGCGGAAGAUGAGAAUGAAAGGCUUCACUGAGGUGACAGCAGGUAAGGUCUGGUGUGCAGGACCCAUGGGGAGCUGCUGUUGGUAUCCUGAAAUAUACAUUAUAAUACCAAAGUUAAGGAUGUUUGCAAAAGCAUAUGGAUACUUAGGGAGAGGAAUUUAAACUGUGAGAACAUCUCCAGGGCUUCAAAACAGUCUCCUGUCCCCUUAAUUCACACAUGCUGACUAGAUUAAAUAUCUCAAUACCAGUAUAUUCCCACCAUUUUUUGUGGGCUUAUUGAAAAUGACAAUAAAGUCUCAUAGCAAAAUGUAAUUUCCAUAUAAACAAUUUCCAGGAAUCUAGCAGUAGGCAAAGGACCUAAAUGCUAAAAAUCUUGGUGUCUGACAUUAUGACUAGCAUCCUAAUUUUGGGGGGCAAAUUUGCUUCACCUCUAUGGAAUGUAGCUGGAUAUAUGCUGUAUACUAUUUCCGCACUAGUCUUUAAAAGCACCAAUAGGUUAACAGCAAGAGACCAUCUCAUCUGGCAGAAAAAUAAAGGUGUCACAGCUUGUAAAGGGUGUUUUAAAUAUACUUAGAUAUUUGGGGCUUGAUCAAAUCCUGGUGUUGACAAAAAACAAUUUCAUGAAAUAAAAUUUUUGAAAAUAUUGACAGUUGACAAACUGAGAAGUAACAGUGAUAUGAGCAGAAUUUUGAAACAAACAUACACAAAUUGAUACAUUAUAUUGCAUAUAUAUAUAUAUAUAUAAUAGUUUGUAUACAUACAAAUUGAGUAACAUUGUAUGUAUUUGUAUAUAUAUAGAGAAAUAUAUAUUAACUAGAUUGGAAAUACAUCUCUUGUUUUAUGCAGCUGCCCAGAUUCAGGCAGCACAUCUAGAGUUGCUCUGAGACUAUCUGGAAAUGCUGGAAUCAAAGGUAUAUAGCAUCUGCGCCCUUAAAACGGGCCAAUUUAUGGCUUUUUAAGAUCUCUCUCAGAUGCUAGUCAUCUUGCUGGCUAGCUGGAAAUCACAGACAAAUGGCCAGUGGGCUCUGUUUCUGCCCUGAUAAAAUUAUUGAACAAAGAAGUGGAAAUAUUUGGGGAAACCUGGAUGUGCAGUAGCCUCAUCUUGAUAUGUCACUUUUUUGACCAUAAACCUUGGGAUUAAUGCACCUCUGGAUGAUCACUGUAACUGCUGACCUUUACUUAAUAUCUGCUUAAGGCAGUUCUCAUACACCAGUUGGGCAAAUGUAAGGAGGAGAUAGAAAUAAAAUUUUAAAAGGACAGUUGAAGAUCUUUGAAAUGACUAAAGAUAUUACUGUUAAUUGUACGUAACAUUGCAGUAUAUAAAUAUGAUCUUCCUUUUGUUUCAGCCAGCAUCACCAACCAUAUAAUGUUAGCUUUGGUCAUGUCACAUCCUCACUGCCCACAGAGCCUGUAAUCCUCAUAGUGUAAAAGUUCCACUCCAAACAGCCAUAAGAACGACAGCCACCCUUGUCUCUCAGAGAUCUAGGUGAUGCCAAAAAAAACAACACUCCCAUGCUUAUGAUGUCCCAACCAUGCAACACUUUGCAAUAUAAUAUAAAUACUGUCUACAGCACUCAGAAGCAAACAGUGAUCUUUGUACAUUUGGGUCAAAUGCUUUU